rnacentral:rRNA from 1 species
CCUANGGGUGGCUGCAGUCGAGGAUCUUUUGCAAUGCCCGAAAGGGUGACAAUGCGACGCCGCGUGUGCGAUGAAGGUUUUCGGAUCGUAAAGCACUGUCAGCUGGGAGGAAUCUCUGGAGGCUUAAUAAGCUUGCAGGGUGACAGUACCAGCAGAGGUAGCCACGGCUAACUCCGUGCCAGCAGCCGCGGUAAUACGGAGGUGGCAAGCGUUACUCGGAUUGAUUGGGUGUAAAGGGCAUGUAGGCGGCAAGUUAUGUCGAAUGUGAAAUCCCUUGGCUUAACCAAGGAACUGCAUUCGAAACUGAUUUGCUUGAGCGACAGAGAGGAAAGCGGAAUUCCCGGUGUAACAGUGAAAUGUGUAGAUAUCGGGAGGAACACCAGUGGCGAAGGCGGCUUUCUGGCUGUCUGCUGACGCUGAAAUGCGAGAGCUAGGGGAGCAAACAGGAUUAGAUACCCCANUANUC